GUGUUGUGGGGGCAGACAAUCUGCUCCAAUAUAUUUUUCAGUUGCUCAUGUCUAUGCAGCUGCAUACAGAAAGCUGCAUUUUGAACAUGUGGCUAAUUACACCGAAAGGGGGCUAAAGCGAUAUCUCAAGGCCAAAUACAUCAUGGAAAGAAAAAAUAGCUUUUAUGAAAUUGUCAAUGGAUUGCCUAAAAGCAGGGACAUGCACAGAAAUAAAAAUGUGGCUGCUUUUGGAGGGGCACUUUCUGUGCCCCCCUGCUGCCCCAGUGGAGCUCGCUCUCCCCCUGCAGCUGGAGGAGUUCUGUGCCCCACCCCAGCUGAUGGGGGUUCAUCCAUUUUAGAAUGUGUGACUUGUCUGGAUGGUUGAGUCACUGAAGAAUUACCAACAAAGAUCAACAACCUACAGGGGUUGCCGGGUGCGGAAAAGAUUGCAGCACCACAUCCAGACAACAGGAGGCACUGAAAAGAGGUAGUGUUGGAGAUUCAAAGGUGUGGAUUUCAACUCCUCUGACUCUUAUCCCAAUAAGAAAAGGGAACAGAAAUAAGGAAGUAUUGAGAACGUUAUAUCUGACUUUCCUGACUUUUAACGCAGCCCUUCCACUGGCUCUGGCUCGGUGGAGCCGGAGAAAGCCCUGACAGUUGUGGCUGUGAGGUUGUGUUGGACUUGGCUGGUCUC